AAGUUGCUUCAGUUGUGUCCAACUCUGUGAUCCCAUGGACUGUAGCCUGCCAGGCUCCUCUGUCUGUGGAAUUCUCCAGGCAAGAAUAUUGGAGUAGGUUGCCAUGCCCUCCUCCAGUGGAUCUUCCCAAGCCAGGAAUCGAACCUGCAUCUCUCAUGUCUCCUGCAUUGGCGGGCAGGUUCUUUACCAAUAAAGCCACCUGGAAAGCCCUGUCACUCUCAUUUGCAAGGCUUAAUUUUCAGAUCAUCAGUUGCUAGUGAGAGUGAACUUUUUAAAACCUACCAGUGAUUUACAUAUCAUUAUUCCUGAAUUGUCCAUUGAUACCUAUAAUACACAGUGGCUGUAUCCUGGGAGUCUGGCUUCCACUCUGCCUUGUUCUGGGGAUCUUCCCAACCUAGGGAAUGAAUCUGCAUCUCCUUUGUCUCCGGCACUGCACGCAGACUCUUUACCUGCUGAACCACCGAAGAAGCCCUUGGCACUCCUUCAGCCAGAGAACUCUGGAGAUGUGGAGGGGUGUUAACUGUGCAGCGAACAGGACC
ensembl:lncRNA